UCGGCACGACAUACCACCAACGAUCGUCCACACACCCCCGUCGCGGCACCACCAAGAAUCUUGCCCCCGCCCGCCGUACAGUCCUUGGUACCUCUUCCAUUUCCCCCAGCCUGGAGCACGGCGAGUCGUUCAGCAUGGUCUGCGAUGGGAGAGGAAGAAGAGGGCCUAUUUGCAACUGGGAUCUACUCGCAUUGUGCAAACUGAACUCCUCCCUAUCCGCAUCAAUUUGUUCCGUGCGCAUGUUCGAUGGUUUGUUAAUUAAAGAGUGGAGAAUGGAUGAAGAAGAAGAUUAAUUAAGUUCAGCAAAGGCAUCCAAGACUACUCCCUUGACGGUCAGAAUCAUUGCCACAUGAAAAUACUUCUAUUGGUUUGCAUGAAUUAGUCUGUUCUUUUCAUGAAUGUUCUGUAGAGACAAUUCUACUAUGCUAUCUGCCCUAGCUUCAAAAUAAAAUCAGCUGCUUAACUAGAAGUGAGUACAAAUAAUACAUCUUCUAUGAUUAUUGGUUAGGUGCUUGCAUGUGAUUUUUUAACUACAUGGAUAAUUUGGAUCUCAAUAUUUAUCUAUGUAUAACUUCUCAUUGUUCUGUUUCAUAGCUCACAUCGUAUGUUAGUUGUAAAAAGAUGAAAUUCAAACGGGCUUUACCAGCAACUAUGAACUGGUUGAUGCUACAUGUCGGAGCUUAUUUUUGAACAUAUGAAUAGCGAAAUUUUCACACCCAGGCUUUCCAAUGUCAUACUGAUUUGUCUGAUUUUGACCAAGGUUGUGAGUUAAGGUGUCUAAGCUGCAUUUUGUCAGGGCCAUGCGGUGACAUCAAGCAAUGCAAUGGAACAAAAAAAAUGCAUGCGCACGUAUUUUUUUAGUUUUGAGCUUUAUAAAUGUCAUGUACUAAUAUCUACUUGCAAGUUACAAAUAUGAUGAGACACUAUCCUCAACACCCCCCUUUUCUCUUCAAACACACUCAGUGCAACGGUUGACACUCUUAGAUAACCAAGAUAACCUCUAGGCAAUCAAGCAUUGAUAAUCCAAUAAAAUUGAAGCAUGAUAUAUACUCUGUCCAUGCAUGUCACACCUUUGUUCUUGGAAUUGUUAGUGCCAGAUUAGUCUUAUAAUUCUUUUUUAAAAUAUGACCCUUAAUGUCAGCUAAGAAUACCACAGCAAUGCGCGGUGCACCAUCAUAUCCUAUAUAACCAAAUAGAUUAUUCCACUAAUAUAUUUGUCUCAACAUGUACACAUAUAAUAUCAAUAAUUAAAUAAAAUAAGUCAUAUGUAUCUUUAGUUUUACUUCUCAUAUUACCAAUCAAUUUUCCAUAUUAAAAAAAAUCAAAUCUCACCAAAUAUAUUAUAACCAGUUCCCGCAGCA